rnacentral:rRNA from 1 species
GACGAACGCUGGCGGCGUGCUUAACACAUGCAAGUCGAACGGUGAAGCUCCAGCUUGCUGGAGUGGAUCAGUGGCGAACGGGUGAGUAACACGUGAGCAACCUGCCCCAGACUCUGGAAUAAGCGCUGGAAACGGCGUCUAAUACUGGAUACGAGAUCAAGCCGCAUGGUUAUGGUCUGGAAAGUUUUUCGGUUUGGGAUGGGCUCGCGGCCUAUCAGCUUGUUGGUGAGGUAAUGGCUCACCAAGGCGACGACGGGUAGCCGGCCUGAGAGGGCGACCGGCGACACUGGGACUGAGACACGGCCCAGACUCCUACGGGAGGCAGCAGUGGGGAAUAUUGCACAAUGGGCGAAAGCCUGAUGCAGCGACGCCGCGUGAGGGAUGACGGCCUUCGGGUUGUAAACCUCUUUCAGCAGGGAAGAAGCGAAAGUGACGGUACCUGCAGAAGAAGCACCGGCUAACUACGUG